rnacentral:piRNA from 1 species
GCUACAAUUUGUAGGGUGCAUCUUUACACA